CCAACGGUCCCCUUAGGGACCAAAAAUAAAUAAAAAGGUUGAUAU
rfam:Genlisea aurea contig_33820, whole genome shotgun sequence.